rnacentral:rRNA from 1 species
AUGUGUGAGAGAUACCGGCAAAUUGUGUCUGAUCAAUGGUGGGGUCGGGAGGAUGGUAGGAAGAAGAUGCAUUGGCGCUCGUGGGAGUGGCUGACUACACCAAAAUUCCUCGGAGACAUGGGCUUCCGGGAUAUGGCACUCUUUAACCAGGCUAUGCUCGGCAAACAGGGAUGGCGCCUUCUGACUGACCCUGGAUCGCUAUGUGCGGAGGUCUUAAAGGGGAGAUAUUUUCCAUUUACUGAUUUUUGGAAUGCUACUGCUCCCGGCUCGGCCUUGGCCACUUGGCGGGCCAUCCUGCAUGGUAGGGAUCUGCUCAAGAAGGGUGUGCAAUGGGUGAUUGGGGAUGGGAGAAAUACACAUAUCCUCAAAGAUCACUGGACCCCUUCUACUCCUCCCACUUUGCUGCAGCUCGUUUAUCUGAUUCCGGUAUCUGCAACUGUACACUGUUUGAUUGAUGAGGAUAAUGGUUGCUAG